rnacentral:rRNA from 1 species
UACGUAGGGGGCUAGCGUUGUCCGGAUUCAUUGGGCGUAAAGCGCACGCAGGCGGCUUGGUAAGUCAUCGGUGAAAUCCCUCGGCUCAACCGGGGGGGGUCCGGCGAAACUGCCAGGCUUGAGGUCGGGAGGGGGAAGCGGAAUUCCGGGUGUAGUGGUGGAAUGCGUAGAUAUCCGGAGGAACACCAGUGGCGAAGGCGGCUUCCUGGCCCGAAUCUGACGCUGAGGUGCGAAAGUGCGGGGAGCAAACAGG